GUAUUUUUCUCAAAUUUUUAGAGGACCAAUCAUCACUAAUGUGUAUCAGAUUGUGGUGUGGAACACGAGCCCACUGACUCAAAAACAAACAAACAAACAAAACAAGACUGAGAUUACAAAGCAGCAAGCCAGUUUUAUUUCUCUUCUGCAAGAGGGAUCCACAACAGAGAUAUACUCAGCUGGAUUGCACUUGCUGAACUUAAAGCAGUCUGUUCAGGUCAGAAGUAUUCCAGAAGCAAGGAGUCAUGGAGAGCUAGAAGGAAAUAGCUUCAGGACACUAGUGAACCAUGGGGCCUCAUUCAUCUUCCCAAAGCAUGCAUGCCUGCUCAAUCAAAAGGUGGGGCUCUUUCAAAAUUUUCUUUUUUUAAAGGAAAAAAGGGUACAAUUUAUGUUAAUUUCACAAAUAUUUUCCAGUGAGAGGUUUCAAAUUUUCUGCCAUUUGUUCAUUCUUUUGAAAAUGUACUACAGUUUCCUGCUGUCUCAUGAAGUCAGUUUUCAUUUGUCAAAUUUUAGGUUUUAGGAAGCCAUUUUCUUCUUUGAGAUGUUUUACCUCCUUUCUUUGGGAGUUAUUUUCCUAUUUAAGGUAUUAUAUUUCCUUUUUCAGAUACCAGUGUUCUUCACUAUUUUUUUCCUUUAAUUUUCUUUUCUAAUUUUCCUUCUAAGUUUCUUUUUUUUCUUAUCCUUUUUAGAGCUCAUCCAAGGAUUCAUUUUGGGCUUGAAAUUCUUUUACAUUUUCCUUUGCUGAUUUACACAUUUAUGAUUUGUUUUACUGUUAUCUUCUGUGCUUGUAUUUUGCUCAUACCUUGGGUUGAGAUAUUUUUCUAGGGUUACUCUCUCUCUGUCUCUCUCUGUCUCUCUCUGUCUCUCUCUCUCUCUCAUUCUGUCAUGUUUUUCCUUGAUUUUUAAAUAUAUUGAAACUUAGCUCUUAACAGACAGACAGACAAAUCCCUUGACUGAACAAUGGCUAAGAUCUGUUUAGCUAUCUUGAUCUAAGAUUGAACACUGUAGAUGUGGCCUGGUUAGUCUGAUGCUUGGAGGAUAGCAGCAAUUCUGUUGGAAAUGGGUGGAAUUGGGUUCUACCUAAUCCCAACAAAGCUGGAUCUUGUUGGGAUGAGUCCCUUUCACAGCGUCCAGUAUCUGUUCUUCUUGGGUUAUGCAGGGCCACCUUUCUCCCACUGCUUCUUAUUCUUCAUUUCAUUGGUUUCUGUUCCUAUCUUGCUUAGAUUGGAUGGAGCUGCUGUUCUCUUUCAUCAUCCUGCAUGGGCCAAUUGGUUCUAAUUUCCACUGAGGUUUAUUCAGUGCUCCCUCCUCAUACUGUAGUGCAAUGAGUCCAGUUUGCUAUCUCUCAACUUUGUUCUGGGCUAGAGCCCUGCUUUACCCCUUCUUCUGUUGGUUCUGCUGCACCAUAUUUGUUUUGAGACAUCUUCAUUCUUUUAUGGUCAUCUGGUGGAUGACUGGUGAGUACUGAGUAUUUUUUACCUCUCCAUAUGCCUCUUGCCACUGUGACUGAUGCAACUUCU
rnacentral:lncRNA from 1 species